GCUUCUGUAGCUCAGUGACAGAGCACAGGUCUUGUAAACCAGCGGUCGCGAGUUCAAUCCUCACAGGAGGCA
rnacentral:tRNA from 1 species